rnacentral:ncRNA from 1 species
AUGCCUGUUGCUACUAUCAAUUGGAUGAUUUAGUGAGGCCCUCACUAAAUCAGCCCCGCUGGGGUCGGCCCAUGGCCCUGGGGAAGCACUGAGAAAAUGGUCGAACUUGACGAUCUAGAGGAAGUAAAAGUCGUAACAAGGUUUCAUAGCUGAACCUGUGGAAG